AUGGGGUGCAGCAGGCGAGAAACCUUUGCAAUGUGCGCAAGCACGACAAGGUUAAUCCGAGUGUUUCCUGCUAAAGGAAUCUUUUGUUAGUCUUAAAAUCACUAUUGAAUAAGGGGUGGGCAAGUUCUGGUGUCAGCCGCCGCGGUAAAACCAGCACCUCAAGUGGUCAGGAGGAUUAUUGGGCCUAAAGCAUCCGUAGCCUGCUCUGUAAGUUUCCGGUUAAAUCCAUUAGCUCAACUAAUGGCCUGCCGGAAAUACUGCAGAGCUAGGAAGUGGGAGAGGUAGACGGUACUCGGUAGGAAGGGGUAAAAUCCUUUGAUCUAUUGAUGACCACCUGUGGCGAAGGCGGUCUACCAGAACACGUUCGACGGUGAGGGAUGAAAGCUGGGGGAGCAAACCGGAUUAGAUACCCGGGUAGUCCCAGCUGUAAACGAUGCAGACUCGGUGAUGCCCUGGCUUGUGGCCAGUGCAGUGCCGCAGGGAAGCCGUUAAGUUUGCCGCCUGGGAAGUACGUACGCAAGUAUGAAACUUAAAGGAAUUGGCGGGGGAGCAC
rnacentral:rRNA from 1 species